CUGUAAACCAUGGAAGAGAAAGCAUGAAUUGGUAGACAGCUAUCUCUGCCACAUGGAUGCAUCUCUGUAUGGAAUAUUUUUAAAGCUAGGUCUUGCUUGUUAGAAAGUGGAAAGAACAUUUCUAGAUGUUUGUUUUAAUCUUAUAAAUCUAUGAAACUGUGGUGCAAGAUCUUAGAAAACAACGUGUGAUUAUCUUUAAGGAAUUCAGCUGACAUUCAAAUAGGCAUAAGCCUGAAAAAAUCACAUGUAAUGUGGUCCUUGACCAGUAUGUGGGGAUGUGUCCAUGCCUUUGAAAUUACAGUGUAAGUGCUCCAGUUACCACACUUUCUAAACAGAGAAAGUGCUCAAAACACCCUGGGGUUUUAUUUUGUGUGUGUCUGUGACAGCAAAGAAUAAAAACUGUUAAACAAAA